rnacentral:lncRNA from 1 species
GUGCUCCUCUUGUGCCUUUCUCACUCUGUUCAUAGUGGUGGGUAGGAGUAUGGUUGCACAUCACUGAAGAGUAAGCUGUACAUUUUAGUGGACCCAAAUUCUGCUAUUAGCUCCAAGAUCACAGAAGCAGAACUUUAUCCACCUUUAUUUCUUUACAUCUGUGUAUCUCUUAUUCCUUAGUCCUGCGAGUUGGGAAAGAAAAAGAUUCCAAAGUAAGGGAUUUUACAUUUUGGAUCAUCUUCUGAGGAUAAACAGCAACAAUGGUUUUAAUAUUACGUCGUGAGAUGGGCUCUUCUGCAAAGGUUCCAUUUGAAACACACAUAGCAGCACAAGGUGGGGGGUAUUUCAGGGAGCCCGGGAAAUCCUGAGCCUUCCCCUCAUUCCUCUGCUAUGAGAAGGAGUCAGUCAAGGAGGAGACAGUUCCCCUGCACACACACACUUCCCUGGAGGAAGUGCAGCUGCUCCCUCUUAAUGGGGAUUACCUGGACUGCUGCCCAUCUAUAGACUACAGCACUGGGAGCCUGGGGUCAUUGUGAAACUAACAAAUUGCCUCUAUGUUCCCCAGCUGGUAGUCCUUUGCUGGUACCAGCACCUGCCUGCAAUCAGCUUCUGGGUGGAGCUGGGUAUUGGUUGGGGGCCACAGCACCUGCCUACAGUCAGCUUCUGGGUGGAGCUGGGCACUGGACGAGGGUUAUUUCCCCUUUGCCUGCUGGGUCUGUGUGCUUGUGCCAUUAUUUGCUUGUAUGGUAUCAGAGGUGGUGCUCUGAGAAGUAUUGCUUUUCAGAGUGUGUCUAGAAAGAAGAGAGUGCUGAAAGCUGUAUGCGCAAGAUGGAAAGCAAAGAAGAGCAAGACAAACAAAAAGCAGGAGAGCUCUCAGCAAGGUCUUCAGACAUAUUUGAAAAGACCACUUCAGCUUGAGGAGGUUCCUUUUGGCAUCGGACAGCGUUCUCACGAAUGACCUGCUCUUUCUCCCUCAAAAAUUAUGGAUUUUGAUUAAUGAAAUGAGGAAGCCAGACUACUUUGUUUUCUACAGCACAUCUAUUAGUAGCUGCAGCCGCAAGGAAUUUCAGAUUGUCCUCAAUUUAGCACAUUUGGAAAAAAUGAUUCUUCUCUUCCUCCUUGCAUACUUGGCUGCCUUAUGCUGACAGUAAUUUUUCUGG